rnacentral:rRNA from 1 species
ACAGGGAUUGCCCUAGUAACGGCGAGUGAAGCGGCAACAGCUCAAAUUUGAAAUCUGGCUCUUUCAGAGUCCGAGUUGUAAUUUGCAGAGGGCGCUUUGGUGUUGGCAGCGGUCCAAGUUCCUUGGAACAGGACGUCACAGAGGGUGAGAAUCCCGUACGUGGUCGCUAGCCUUCGCCGUGUAAAGCCCCUUCGACGAGUCGAGUUGUUUGGGAAUGCAGCUCUAAAUGGGAGGUAAAUUUCUUCUAAAGCUAAAUACUGGCCAGAGACCGAUAGCGCACAAGUAGAGUGAUCGAAAGAUGAAAAGCACUUUGGAAAGAGAGUCAAAUAGCACGUGAAAUUGUUGAAAGGGAAGCGCUUGCAGCCAGACUUGCCUGUAGUUGCUUAUCCGGACUUUUGUCCGGUGCACUCUUCUGCGGGCAGGCCAGCAUCAGUUUGGGCGGUUGGAUAAAGGUCUCUGUCAUGUACCUCUCUUCGGGGAGAACUUAUAGGGGAGACGACAUGCAACCAGCCUGGACUGAGGUCCGCGCAUCUGCUAGGAUGCUGGCGUAAUGGCUGUAAGCGGCCCGUCUUGAAACACGGACCAAGGAGUCUAACAUCUAUGCGAGUGUUUGGGUGUCAAGCCCAGACGCGUAAUGAAAGUGAACGGAGGUGGGAACCCUUUGGGUGCACCAUCGACCGAUCCUGAUGUCUUCGGAUGGAUUUGAGUAAGAGCAUGGCUGUUGGGACCCGAAAGAUGGUGAACUAUGCUUGAAUAGGGUGAAGCCAGAGGAAACUCUGGUGGAGGCUCGCAGCGGUUCUGACGUGCAAAUCGAUCGUCAAAUUUGGGCAUAGGGGCGAAAGACUAAUCGAACUAUCUAGUAGCUGGUUCCUGCCGAAGUUUCCCUCAGGAUAGCAGUAACGUAUUCAGUUUUAUGAGGUAAAGCGAAUGAUUAGAGGCCUGGGGGUUGAAACAACCUUCACCUAUUCUCAAACUUUAAAUAUGUAAGAAGUCCUUGUUACUUGAUUGAACGUGGACACUUGAAUGUACCGUUACUAGUGGGCCAUUUUUGGUAAGCAGAACUGGCGAUGCGGGAUGAACCGAACGCGGGGUUAAGGUGCCAGAAUAUACGCUCAUCAGACACCACAAAAGGUGUUAGUUCAUCUAGACAGCAGGACGGUGGCCAUGGAAGUCGGAAUCCGCUAAGGAGUGUGUAACAACUCACCUGCCGAAUGAACUAGCCCUGAAAAUGGAUGGCGCUCAAGCGUAUUACCCAUACCCCGCCGCCGGGGCAGAAUUUAUGCCCCGGCGAGUAGGCAGGCGUGGAGGCUCGUGACGAAGCCUUGG